rnacentral:rRNA from 1 species
UACGUAGGGGGCAAGCGUUGUCCGGAUUUAUUGGGCGUAAAAGGCUUGUAGGUGGCCACGCCAAGUCGGAUGUGAAAUCUCCCGGCUCAACUGGGAGGGGUCAUUCGAUACUGGCGGGCUCGAGGCCGGUAGGGGGAAGUGGAAUUCCCGGUGUAGUGGUGGAAUGCGUAGAUAUCGGGAGGAACACCAGUGGCGAAGGCGGCUUCCUGGACCGGUACUGACGCUGAGGUGCGGAAAGCGUGGGGAGCAAACAGGG